CUGCCUCAAAGUUCGACACGUUGUGCAUUCAGAGAUGCUCUUCUACUGUUGCCUGCCUUUCAACUUGAACCAGGCUAUUCUUCCCUGACCUCUGCCGUCAACAAGGAGCUGUGACGCAACGGUCCACCAGGAAUCCGCCGCACAGCAGCAGGAGCAAUCAGCACUGCACAGCCCGAUGCAGGGGGAGCAGUCUUUCCGAACAAGGAUUAAAGGCCAUGCUGGGAAGAAGAUCGGGAAAAACAGAUGAGUCAGCAAGGGGUUGCCUUCCCUGGGCCCUGUGAACAGGCAGCUCGGAGGACACCUGCCAAAGCAUAGCACCUUCGUCGCCACAACCCCUAGUAUAUUCUCCAUUAUUCCCAACAUAAGGCCUAUGCCCUUGUCUCCUGCGUCUCCUUGCCCACCACAGCAGACAUUGUUCGGAAAGUUCAGGUGUUGUUCUCUACAGAUUUACAGGAGUUUGGAGUGGAAAGGUAAAAACAUUUACGCACUUAUGUGUAUUUAAACACAAGCACACCAUCCUCCAACAAGGUACUGCAUUACCAACAAACAAAUAAAAUUUAGGUGAAAAAUGUAAAAAAAAAAUAGCUCUUAAAAUCUGUCAUUUUGUUAUUAAUAUGCUUUCAAGAAACUUUUUGU